AGUGAACGCUGGCGGCAGGCCUAACACAUGCAAGUCGAGCGGCAGCGCGUCCGACCACCCUCGGGUGGUCGGAUGGCGGCGAGCGGCGGACGGGUGAGGAAUGCAUCGGAAUCUGCCUCGUUGUGGGGGAUAACGUAGGGAAACUUACGCUAAUACCGCAUACGACCUACGGGUGAAAGUGGGGGACCUUCGGGCCUCACGCGAUGAGAUGAGCCGAUGCCGGAUUAGCUAGUUGGCGGGGUAAAGGGCCCACCAAGGCGACGAUCCGUAGCUGGUCUGAGAGGAUGAUCAGCCACACUGGAACUGAGACACGGUCCAGACUCCUACGGGAGGCAGCAGUGGGGAAUAUUGGACAAUGGGGGGCAACCCUGAUCCAGCCAUGCCGCGUGUGUGAAGAAGGCCUUCGGGUUGUAAGG
rnacentral:rRNA from 1 species